AACUGCACAGCAGUAAUCAUUUCAUUGAGAACCCCAGUCUGUGAAGGCUCUAUACAAAGUCCUGUGCCGAUUGCAUCAACUCCAAAGGUAUAAGAGGAUUGAGAUCAGCAUCUGAGGAAUUGAAAGCUUGGUGCAAAAAAUGCAUUUCUGGAGAAGAAGAUACAGGAACAACCAUUUAUAAAGGUCUCAUGAAUACACACACCUAUGCCUGAUAAAUAUUAAAAAGGCAAGAAACUUAAGAGGAUGACCAGCAAUUCCAGACUGCAGACGUAACAACUGUUGAGUCCUCCAGUCCAACUGACAUUCUUCUUCCAAGAACUACUAAAUUCCAAAAAGCCAAGACGCAAUGCCAAGAGAAAAGUGUGUGUGUUUAAUUUAAUUGGACAUGACUUUUCAAAAAUUUUAAAGCAGCAGUACAAAUAAACCAUGUUCCCAUUCA